rnacentral:rRNA from 1 species
GGGUCAGUAGGUUGGUCGUGCCACCGGUACGUACUGGUCUCACUGAUUCCUCCUUCCUGAAGAGCCGUAAUGCCAUUAAUUUGGUGUUGCGGGGAAACAGGACUGUUACUUUGAAAAAAUUAGAGUGUUUAAAGCAAGCUAGCGCUUGAAUACAUUAGCAUGGAAUAAUGAAAUAGGACGAUCGAUCCUAUUUUGUUGGUUUCUAGGAUUGACGUA